AGUAUUUCCCUUCCCAUUUCGCCACGUAAAAUCGCCAUUUCAAAAACCUAACCUAAACCUAACCCAACUGAGCCAUCCCAACCGCAAACCCAACGCACCGGAGAGAAUAUGGUAUCCGACUCGGAGCUCGUCGGCCGGCUUCGGGAUUUCCUCCGAACCUCGGAUCUCACCACCACCACCACCGCCACCAUCCGGCGGAGGCUGGAGGAGGAUUUCGGGAUCGAUUUGUCGGACAAGAAGGCUUUUAUUCGUGAACAGGUCGAUCUUUUUCUUCAGAGCCAGGUCGAUAACGCCCAAGAGAAUGAAGAAGAAGACGAAGGCGAAGUAAACGAGGAAGAAGAGGACGACGACGACGAAGAAGAAGAAGCCAGUAAUGGCAAAAGCACUUCUAAAAGAGGGUCUAAGAAGCAGAAUAAAGAGGUUAAGAAAAGAGGUGGUGGUGGUGGCUUUACCAAAUUAUGUAGUCUGUCUCCAGAGCUUCAGAAAUUUGUUGGGGUGCCUGAAUUAGCCAGAACUGAGGUUGUCAAGCAACUGUGGAACUAUAUUCGUGAAAAGAAUUUGCAAGACCCAAGCAAUAGGCGAAAUAUAAUUUGCGAUGACACACUGCGUGCCCUUUUUGCAGUUGAUUGCAUAAACAUGUUCCAAAUGAACAAGUCCUUAGCAAAGCAUAUCUGGCCAUUGGAUUCAGAUGAUGCAGCUUCAGUUAAAUCUACGCCAAAGGAGAAGCCACAGAAGCAGAAGCAAAGGAAACAAGAGAGAGAAGAUGAUUCAGAUGAUGAACCAAAAAGAAAGGAAAAACGGCAGAAGGGAGGGAACUCUGGUUUUCUUGCUCCUCUUCCACUAUCAGAUGCUUUAGUAAAGUUCCUUGGUACAGGAGAAAGUUCAUUGUCUCGAUCUGAAGUUGUGAAGAGAAUCUGGCAAUAUAUAAAACAAAACAACCUUCAGGAUCCAUCUGAUAAGAGGAGAAUAAUAAGUGAUGAGAAGCUGAGAGAACUCUUCGAUGUUGACUCCUUCAACGGAUUCACUGUUUCAAAGCUCCUUACCACUCAUUUCAUGAAGACAGAGCACUGAGUUACUCGCACAUGGUUUUGUUAAAUUGCGAAGAACUGGGGAUUUUGCAUAAGCAAGUCAAAUAUAUUAAAAGGAUAUUUUCGAAGUGGGUGCAAUAGCUUGCUCUACUACUCAUUUGGAAGACAUAAUUGGCUUUUAAACAUAGUUUGUUCUUUCUGAACUCAAAGAGUGAAGCAAGCAACAUCACAGCCACCUCCCCUCAUCAAUCUUCAAUUUCUUGUCGGCCGCCAUCAGUACCACUGAAUGGCUAUGACUCCAAUCCACAGUGAAGCUCAACCAUGCAGCAUCUAACGAUUAAAAUGCAACAUUUUCACCACCACCAUAAACUGUUGCCAUUGCCGUUCUUCAUGUUGCACAUGUCAGGAUUGCAAUGUUAGUUUGAAUUCCACUUAAGUAAUUGUCGUGUAGACUUUUUUAUU